GGGUUGCUAUCUUCUGGACAACAAGUAGUACCAGAGCAGGUGCUUUAAUAUUUAAUUGUUGACCUAGUGGUCAAAGAGUAAAAGAUCACGAUAAUCUCGAUUAGUUCAUCAUUUGUUGAGGGCAAUCCACAUCUAGACCAUCUAUACUUAAUGGUUUAAAUUAUAUCUAUUGAAAAACUAGAAUAAAAAUUUUUAUACAAGCAUA
rnacentral:lncRNA from 1 species